rnacentral:piRNA from 1 species
UGGUCGCCGAGCUUUUCAGACAGGAU